rnacentral:rRNA from 1 species
AACUUUCAACGACGGAUCUCUUGGUUCUGGCAUCGAUGAAGAACGCAGCAAAAUGCGAUAAGUAAUGUGAAUUGCAGAAUUCAGUGAAUCAUCGAAUCUUUGAACGCACAUUGCGCCCGCCAGUAUUCUGGCGGGCAUGCCUGUUCGAGCGUCAUUU